rnacentral:rRNA from 1 species
UGGGGAAUAUUGGACAAUGGGCGCAAGCCUGAUCCAGCCAUGCCGCGUGAGUGAUGAAGGCCUUAGGGUUGUAAAGCUCUUUUGUCCGGGAAGAUAAUGACUGUACCGGAAGAAUAAGCCCCGGCUAACUUCGUGCCAGCAGCCGCGGUAAUACGAAGGGGGCUAGCGUUGCUCGGAAUCACUGGGCGUAAAGGGCGCGUAGGCGGACUCUUAAGUCGGGGGUGAAAGCCCAGGGCUCAACCCUGGAAUUGCCUUCGAUACUGGGAGUCUUGAGUUCGGAAGAGGUUGGUGGAACUGCGAGUGUAGAGGUGAAAUUCGUAGAUAUUCGCAAGAACACCAGUGGCGAAGGCGGCCAACUGGUCCGAAACUGACGCUGAGGCGCGAAAGCGUGGGGAGCAAACAGG